rnacentral:lncRNA from 1 species
UUAGGGCAAUCCUCAAACUUUUAUGCCCUCUUGUGAAAGGGUCCCUAAAUUUGCCCUUCUAUAUGUACCCCUUAAGACUAAUUUCUGUCCCUUUAGGAUUUUAUGAAACCAUCAGUUAUGUUAAUUUAAUUUAAGAACGUAAUACUUUAUACAUUAAAUUUAAUUAGAGUCCAUGGAAAUAGCAGUGACUGAAGAUCCACCUGUGGUUCCGACUAAGGAAUCUGAAAAUGACAGUAAGUUGAUGUAUGUAAUUUGAUAUGAAAUUGGAUGAUUGAAACAGUUGGUUUUCGAAUUAACAUCUGCGAUCUACAGUACUGUAUGGUGGGAUGUGUAGACUUUGUGAAAUAGUCCAUUGAGAACCCAUUGUUUACUUCAUUGCUUUCAUAAUUUUAUUUUAUUAGUCGAGAACAAUAAUAAAGAAGAUAAUGACAGAGGUA